GCGGAAGGGGCUGGCCGCCGGCGGCUUGUCGGUAUGCCUGUCUUCAUCCCCCGGAAACCCUAAGAAAUGCACAAUUUCUUACGGAACAAGCUAAUUUGCGGAAGUUUUUGGCGCGCAACAUCUCAACGAAACCUGCAGGAAUUACUAAUUGGCUUUAAUCCACAUGCUCAAUUGACUGGAUCAAUUUUGGGCUGGUGCCAGCAGCAACCUCGUAUUUACAAGUCGUUAUCAAGCUUGUCGAGUUAUGGAGAAGGAAAGGGACGCGAGCAUGUGAAAGCCGCAUUAUGGAGAAGGAAAAACAGACGGCUAGCUAUGAAAUGUUUGACCCAAAAAGUCUCCAAGAGCAAUCGCUUUAAUUUGUCCAGUAUAGUAUCCUUUUAAAAGCUGGAUGCAGUGAUAAGGAACCAUCAAUUGAAGGAUGAUCUCCAAGUGAUAAGGAACCAUCAAUUGAAGGAUGAAUUCAAAACUCAAUUUCAACGAGCAAAGGCAGGAAGGUGGAGAACCGUUUUAUAAAUCACUAACAUAUUAAAUAAAAUUAUCGACUCGUGUUACCAUUAUUUUUUUAUAUAUUUAUUAUUGACAUGUGGACCUUUUGGUCCCACAUUGCUCUUUUUUCUUUCCACCAAAAGUAAAGAAUUGGUGGGGUGGUUGACAUGUUGGUUAUUUGGUCCCGUAAUGUUCCUUUUUCUUUCCAAAACACAGGGAGUUGGUGGUGGGGUGGUGGUAGAUUCACCACUCACCCCCACCAUUGUAGUUUUGGAGAUCAUC